GACGAACGCUGGCGGCGUGCCUAAUACAUGCAAGUCGAACGCACAGUUUAUACCGUAGCUUGCUACACCAUAGACUGUGAGUUGCGAACGGGUGAGUAACGCGUAGGUAACCUGCCUGGUAGCGGGGGAUAACUAUUGGAAACGAUAGCUAAUACCGCAUAAUAUUGAUUAUUGCAUGAUAAUUGAUUGAAAGAUGCUAUUGCAUCACUACCAGAUGGACCUGCGUUGUAUUAGCUAGUAGGUGAGGUAACGGCUCACCUAGGCGACGAUACAUAGCCGACCUGAGAGGGUGGUCGGCCACACUGGGACUGAGACACGGCCCAGACUCCUACGGGAGGCAGCAGUAGGGAAUCUUCGGCAAUGGACGAAAGACUGACCGAGCAACGCCGCGGGAGUGAAGAAGGUUUUCGGAUCGUAAAGCUCUGUUGUAAGAGAAGAACGGGUGUGAGAGUGGAAAGUUCACACUGUGACGGUAUCUUACCAGAAAGGGACGGCUAACUACGUG
rnacentral:rRNA from 1 species